rnacentral:rRNA from 1 species
UACGAACCGAGCGAACGUUGUUCGGAAUCACUGGGCUUAAAGGGCGCGUAGGCGGGCUGCUAAGUUUGGGGUGAAAUCCUCCGGCUCAACCGGGGAAGGGCCUCGAAUACUGGCGGUCUGGAGGGAGGUAGGGGCGUGCGGAACUGUAGGUGGAGCGGUGAAAUGCGUUGAUAUCUACAGGAACACCAAUGGCGAAGGCAGCUCGCUGGGACGGUACUGACGCUGAGACGCGAAAGCGUGGGGAGCAAACAGG